GCCGCUGUAGCUCAGUUGGUUAGAGCGCCUGAUUGUGGAUCAGGAGGUCCUUGGUUCGAAUCCAAGCAGUGGUACCA
rnacentral:tRNA from 3 species